rfam:Halosimplex carlsbadense 2-9-1 contig_35, whole genome shotgun sequence.
GGUGGGAACGCACGACCGCAAAUCUGACUCGCUGUGCGCUUGCACAGCUCGGGAUUGCGGCCGUGU